rnacentral:tRNA from 1 species
GGUCUUGUGGUCUAGUGGUUAUCACGUCUGCUUCACGCGCAGAAGGUCACCGUUUCGAUCCCGGCAAAGACCU